rnacentral:rRNA from 1 species
CGUGUAGGCGGCCAGAUAAGUCAGAUGUGAAAACCCUUGGCUUAACCAAGGAAGUGCAUUUGAAACUGUCUGGCUUGAGUACGGGAGGGGGAAGUGGAAUUCCCGGUGUAGAGGUGAAAUUCGUAGAUAUCGGGAGGAACACCGGUGGCGAAGGCGGCUUCCUGGACCGAUACUGACGCUGAGACGCGAAAGCGUGGGGAGCAAACAGGAUUAGAUACCCUGGUAGUCCACGCCGUAAACUUUGGGCACUUGGUGUUGCGGGUAUUGACCCCUGCAGUGCCGAAGCUAACGCAUUAAGUGCCCCGCCUGGGGAGUACGGUCGCAAGGCUAAA